rnacentral:rRNA from 1 species
AAAAUGACUCUCGGCAACGGAUAUCUCGGCUCUCGCAUCGAUGAAGAACGCAGCGAAAUGCGAUACUUGGUGUGAAUUGCAGGAUCCCGCGAACCAUCGAGUCUUUGAACGCAAGUUGCGCCCUAAGCCUUUCGGCCGAGGGCACGUCUGCCUGGGUGUCACUC